ACGAAGCUUGGAGAAGUUGUGGAAUUAGUUCGAACGAUUUUAUUUUCGAAAACGAACGUUUUUAGGGGGUCAACAAAGUUGACUUUUUAUACGUUCAAAAUUUGGGAAAACUUCCUUCAUGAAAGUUGUAGAGCUCGUCGAUACGAGUUCGUGGACAUGUGGAACGCAUUAUUCGGAGUUCGUAUGAUUAAGUUAUGAAUAUUUGAAAAUUGGGAAUUUUCUAUAAAUAGGAAAAAUAACUGAUUUUUUUUAUUUAAGGACAAAAAAAAUUUCUUUUUGCGGAAGAGCCCCCAGCCCUCCCCGAUUCUCUCUCUCUGUUUUCCCCUCAGACCCGGCGGGUCGAGCUCGACCCGACCCGACAUUUUCACCCUCCUCCGGCCUCCUCUGGCCACGGACCCGGCCUUCCCCGAGCUCGCCGUCGCACGCCCAGCCGUUACCUGCCACCAUCUUGCCCCGCCGCUGCCCCCAGAUGGAGAUCGAAGACGCCCCAGCCGUGUGAACCCGACCCGACCGGAAAACGACUUUUCCGGCGUUGCAUGGGCCGAUCGUCCCCAUUUUCGUGAUCUCCUCCUCAUGCUGAUCAUCCCCAUACGCACGAGAUUAAUCCAACUUCAACGCUUGAUUUAGGACGAUCUAGGCCGAACCAGGCUUAGCUCCAGGUGAUUGACGGUUUGAGUUGGUGGACGAUUGUGGAUCGUAUUUUGAGCUGAAUUGAAGACGCAGCGGGAUUAUCGAGGUGAGUAAACCUCACGUGGUUCAUAUUACGAACCCAAUACAAUUAAUUGCUUUAUUUUGUUGCAAUCAUAUGAACUAUUGUUGGUGUUAUUAGACAUUCCUGUGUGAAUGUCUGUAUAUAUAUUAUUACGUGAAAUAAUAUGUAUUGUUGGAGUUGUGUUGAGUUAUUGUUGAGAAACAAUAUAUUGUGAGAGAUAUUGAGUUUAUUGUUGAGAAACAAUAUAUUGUGAGAGGUGUUGAGUUUUAUUGUUGAGGAACAAUAAAUUGUUGUGAUCUGUGGAGAUCACUAGGUCACGAGGUGACCAUGGCAUCUAUUAGUGAAUCACGCUCUCGUACCGGGCUGGUGGUUAUUAAUAGUAUUAAAUCGUAAUCACGUCUGUGGCCGGACGAGUGGUUACGUUCAGUUAGAGCUCUAGUCUGUCUGCCAAAUGUGGAGUGACCUUAUGAGUGAAAUUGAGAGUAACUCAUAAGUGUCAAUAUAUAUAUGGUAACCUUAUGAGGGAAAUUGAGAGUAACUCAUAAGGGUCUAUAUAUAUAUAUGAGUCUGUCUACCAAAUGUUGGGAAAUCUUAUGAGCGAAUUUGAGAGUAACUCAUAAGUGUCUAUAUAUAUAUAUGAGAGUGAGUGAUCUUAUGAGCUAAAUUGAGAGUAACUCAUAAGUGUCUAUAUAUAUAUAUGAGAGUGAGAAAGUAACGUGGGUUUGUGGUAGUCUUGAAAUCUAAUAAAUCAACAGUUCUUUCUUGUUUACUCAUACUGGCUGUAAAAAGCUUACCGGGUUUUGUGUUGUUGCAACUCCCGGUACACUAUUCAAAUUGUGUAGCGGGUAAUCCUACAGGACAGGAGAACCAGGACGGUGAUCGUGCGGUUAGAGCAAUUGUUAGAGUUUUACAACAAUUGUAAGU